rnacentral:rRNA from 1 species
GACGAACGCUGGCGGCGUGCUUAACACAUGCAAGUCGAACGGAAAGGCCCUGCUUUUGUGGGGUGCUCGAGUGGCGAACGGGUGAGUAACACGUGAGUAACCUGCCCUUUACUUUGGGAUAACUUCAGGAAACUGGGGCUAAUACCGGAUAGGAGCUCCUGCUGCAUGGUGGGGGUUGGAAAGUUUCGGCGGUUGGGGAUGGACUCGCGGCUUAUCAGCUUGUUGGUGGGGUAGUGGCUUACCAAGGCUUUGACGGGUAGCCGGCCUGAGAGGGUGACCGGCCACAUUGGGACUGAGAUACGGCCCAGACUGCUACGGGAGGCAGCAGUGGGGAAUAUUGCACAAUGGGCGGAAGCCUGAUGCAGCAACGCAGCGUGCGGGAUGACGGCCUUCGGGUUGUAAACCGCUUUAGCCUGUGACGAAGAGUGAGUGACGGUAAUGGGUAAAGAAGCACCGGCUAACUACGUG